UCCAAGGGUAGCAUUGCUAGGAGUUGGUGA
rnacentral:piRNA from 1 species